GCGAAGGAGCUAGGAAUUUGCCUUAGCUUUAAUCGUUCAGUACUCCUCCUCCUUCACAUGUUCAAUAAAAACUAUUCCAAUCAAAAUCAUUCAGUUGAGUUCUGUUCAUCUUUCACCUAUUUCAUUUUUCCAAAUGGGGUCUUAUCAUAUUGCCUAGCUUGAUGACCACAUAUUCCUUCUCAAGUUUGAACUCAAACUCUGACCAAGUCUUCUUCAACCUAACCUCAAAUUGGAAUUUUCUAUUUCUGUGCCAGAAAAAUGAAUCUUUCUUUGAUGGUUCUCACCGGGUGAGUGAAGUUAUAAGAGGUGACAAUAUUGAAAAAAAGGGCAAUGAUUUAGUUCUACUUUGCACAAAAUGAGAAGCACACAAUGUAUUAGUCUGACAUAAAGGAGAAAAGAAUGAAAAAUUAAUUAAACUACAUUUCGUGGCUAUGGAGAAGUUUGUGAAAGAGUUUAGUGCCGAUAUAAAGACUGCAACAGAAGGAGGUCGGAAGAAAUUUGUAGCGGUUGUUUCAACAAUGAAAACUACAGGACUAAAAGUGGAUCUUAAGAAGCCAAAAGUAUUCAAGAACAAGAAGCAUUCCAAUAAAUCAUCCAAAUCAGAUGAGGCUAUCAGCACAAGAACAAAUGAGAGUGAAGACAUGAUCCAAAUUGACCAUGUUGAGUCCCCUCCAUCGGUUUACCUUAGAAUUGAUUCUACUGACGAUGAUGGUGUCAAUUUGGAGCCUUCUGAGCAACAGAUUAACGAAGAUGGCUUGAAAUCAGAGUAUACGAUGACAGCGGGGAUUAUUGACCACAAUUCUGAAGUUGGUACUUCUUCACUAUCUGAGGAAUCCAGGUCUGUAGAUGUUGGAGAAUUGGAAGAUGUAGAGAAAAACAAUCCAGAGAAAGACAUGAAGAAAGAUCACUCAGCUCAAAAGGUGUCAAAAUAGAACAUAGGAUUAAUAGUCUAUUUGUGCAUUAAAUAUAUUCUAUUCUGUAGUAUUAUCUACCAUAUAUAGUUGUUAAAAAUUGGCGGAACAAUCAACUUUCCCCCAGAAGUUUAAAAACUAAUCACCUACCCCCCAGAACCCUAGCACCGUCCAAGAUUUGUUAAAUGAAUAAGGUCGGAUUAUGGUUAUUUGGUGGCCCAAUUUAUGUGUUUUUUUUUAGCGGAAAAGGAUUGUGUUUUGCCGCCAGAAAGGGUUAUGUUGAGCAACGGUUUUCUGGCUUGAAAGGCUGGAACCAGCGAGUUGUGGACACACAGUAGCAACAAGUGCGGUCGUGGGGGGUAAUUUGUUGGCUCUCUAAUUCGAGGAAGAGAAAGGCCUUCGACGGUGAGAGUUGGGACAUUUGAAAGAUAAACGUUACUGUUUAAUAAAAUUACAAUGAGAUACCUGGCAUUUAAAUAUUCAAAUACAAGUAAAUAGCCACUAACAUCACGUAAACUAGUUGCCCUAUUAUUUAGGAACGUAAUCCUUCAAGUGUGUAGGUGGUCUUCCUCUUCUCUUGCCAAUAAACUCUUGCACGUUGUCAUGAUGGAGAAGGGGAGGCGAUUGCAGGUCCAUGGGCUGACUGGGUAAGGGAACGUGGUCUGUAUCAGUCCCCACCUCUUGCAGUUCAACCUUGUCCUCAAGGUGUAGAUCGACGAUAUUAAGCAAGGGUGGAGCAGUACCGAUUGGAGGUGUGCCGACAAAUGGCUUUAGUAGGGAGACAUGGAAAACAGGGUGGAUCUUGGAGGAUUCCGAUAAUUGAAGCCAGUAGGCAAAAGAUCCAAUGCGUUCAAUAACGUUGAAUGGACUAAAAUACCGUCGGGGUAAUUUCUAGUGGAGGCGAGUAGCCAUUGAGGUCUGGCGUGAGGGCAGAGCUUGACGAGGACCCAAUCGGCUAUUUGAAACUAGUGAUUGUGUCUGAGUUUGUUUGCUUGGUAGACCGUCUACUUUUGGGCGAGCUGUAAAUUGUGGCGUAAGCGGAAAUGAUUUCGUGGUUCUGAAGAAUGAGGUUUGCUUCUAGGGUGGGAGAUAAGCCAGAGAUGUAAUAUGAAAUUGACGGAGGGGGGUGGCCAUAUAAUGCUUAAAAUGGGGUCAUACCUGCGGUAGAGUAGAAGCUGGAGUUGUACCAAUAUUCGGCGAGGUGGAGGUAACAAAACUAGAGCUUUGGUGUGUCCAUCGUAAAGCAACGAAGAUAUUGCUGCAAGCAACGAUUCAGAAUCUCUGUUUGGCCAUCGACUUGUGGCUGGUAGGUGGUGCUAUAUAGCAGCUUAGAACCUUGUUUUUGGAAUAGGGACCGCCAGAAGAGACUUGGGAAAAUUUGAUCACUAUCUGUGACUACAGCUUUUGGAACGCCAUGAAGUUUGGUCAUGGUGUGUGUGAUUUUUCCAUCAAUUUUGGCAAGUUGUAAGGUAUUAGAUCGACCCAGAAUCAAUCCAACUCUACUGAUUGUUCAACCCAGUAUAAGCUCAUCGACAUAUAGUUCGACUCAACACAAGCUAGUCGCGAAAAUCCCCGAAUGAUUAUUCAAUCGAUUCCCAGAUAUUACAGGAACGAUCAGAUUAACAACAAUCUUUACGCAAUCAUAGCACCCAAUUGCAAGAAUAUCGGAGUUGCAAUUCAAAUCAAUUGUAAUCCCUUUAUUUUCACUCUUUCCUUUGAA